rnacentral:rRNA from 1 species
CCUACGGGUGGCAGCAGUAGGGAAUAUUGCUCAAUGGGGGCAACCCUGAAGCAGCAACGCCGCGUGGAGGAUGAAGGUUUUCGGAUUGUUAACUCCUUUUGUUAGAGAAGAUAAUGACGGUAUCUAACGCAUAAGCACCGGCUAACUCCGUGACAGCAGCCGCGGUAAUACGGAGGGUGCCAGCGUUACACGGAAUCACUGGGCGUAAAGAGCGCGUAGGCGGGUUAGCAAGUCAGAUGUGAAAUCCUAGGGCUUAACCAUAGAACUGCAUUUGAAACUGUUAGUCUAGAGUAUGGGAGAGGUAGGUGGAAUUCUUGGUGUAGGGGUAAAA